rnacentral:rRNA from 1 species
CAGUAGCCACGGUAAUACGAAGGGUGCAAGCGUUAAUCGGAAUUACUGGGCGUAAAGCGCGCGUAGGUGGUUUGGUAAGAUGGAUGUGAAAUCCCCGGGCUCAACCUGGGAACUGCAUCCAUAACUGCCUGACUAGAGUACGGUAGAGGGUGGUGGAAUUUCCUGUGUAGCGGUGAAAUGCGUAGAUAUAGGAAGGAACACCAGUGGCGAAGGCGACCACCUGGACUGAUACUGACACUGAGGUGCGAAAGCGUGGGGAGCAAACAGGAUUAGAUACCCGAGUAGUCCCUGUCUCUUAUAC